rnacentral:tRNA from 1 species
GCUUAGAAGUCAUAAACAGCGGAUUGAAAAUCCGCGUGUCGCUGGUUCGAUUCCGGCUCUGGGCACCA